UACGUAGGGCGCAAGCGUUGUCCGGAAUUAUUGGGCGUAAAGAGCUCGUAGGCGGUCUGUCACGUCUGCCGUGAAAACCCGAGGCUUAACCUCGUGGCUUGCGGUGGAUACGGGCAGACUAGAGGUAGGUAGGGGAGAACGGAAUUCCCGGUGUAGCGGUGAAAUGCGCAGAUAUCGGGAGGAACACCGGUGGCGAAGGCGGUUCUCUGGGACUUACCUGACGCUGAGGAGCGAAAGCAUGGGGAGCGAACAGG
rnacentral:rRNA from 1 species